UAGUGUGUGAGCGGCGGGGCCGGGCUCUCCGUGCACCUGCCGGUCCGGUGCCGCUGUGUGUGUACGGAGCCGUAGCAGAAGUGUAGUGUUUUGUGUGUGGGAACACGUUGUUGUGCCCUGUGUGGACUCGUAGUACUGCUCGCGUCUGUGUGUAGUAAGGGGGCGCAGCACUUCCCCUGUGCGUCGAGCGCUGGCGGCCCUCUGAUUGGCUGAGCGGCGGGUCGGAAGUCCAUUUUUUUUAUGCUAAUGACCAAGCUGGGCUGUAGAUAUUUACGUUCAUGCGGGAGCCGCCCUUCAUUCACCCACAUGGUCGGAUUCAGACAGCAUUCGCGCCACUUUCGCCCUGGUAUUGCUGAUAGGUAGUCGCUCUCCCUCCGGAGGGGGCUUGUGAGAUCGUUGUUGGGCAGAAGCCUUGAUGUGACUAUCGGUGUCAGUGGUAAUGCCAAAGUGCUUACAGUGCAGGUGUGUACCCAUAGGAAGAAAUGCUGUGGCUUUAAUGUGGUGCAGUAGUGCAAUAUUUUUAAUAAAAAAAAUGAAGUCCAGACUUAGGUUUUAUAUUAAUGUAAUCAUAAAUUAUUGAUGUAGACUAGUUUUCUGGUGUAUUUUGUUUAGGGUAUGCUCUUGAGGGCAAAAAUACACCUCAAAAUCAAUGUGUUGAUGCUGACUUUGAAUUGCAUUCUGUAUGUCUUUAAGUUCCUAUUGAUUUCAAAGGUAGCUUCCAAGCAGAACCACACUGAGUUUUUUUUUUUUUUUCUGUCCGAAACCUGGUGUGGGUUUAAAAUCUUUCAGCCCCUUAAGGACACAGGGAUUUUUUGUUUUUUUCUGCUCUCAUUCUAAUAGCAAUUACCAUGUUUUUGUAUCUUUAUUAACUCACUCAUUGUUCCAUACCAUCAUAUUUGAGGGUAAAACAAAAAAUUUGUGGGUGUAAAAUUGGUAAAAGGCAAUCUUGUAACUUUUUUGUUUCUAUGCAGUGCAUUUGUCGGUAAAAAUGACACGUUAUCUUUAUUUUGUAGGUCCAUACAAUUACAAUACCCAAUUUAUAUAGUUUUUUUUUUACUACUUAUAAAAUAAAAUUCUUUGUACUAAAAGGUAUGCUUAAUAUGUUCAAGAUCCAGCUGAGAACGAUUAAAAUCCGGUAGGUCCCCAUCAGCACCCAGGACCCAGGGUUGAUCACUGCAUCACAAAAGGAAAGUAAAAUGAUCCCGGCAGCUCUGGCUCUGCAGGCUGGAGCAGCAGAUCACCAAUAACACUGAUCUAUGCUAUGGCAUAACAUUGAACAGUAUAUGCAUGGUGUAUCAGUGUUAAAAAAAGUGUUAAUAAAAAAUAGAGAAUUAACCCAUUCCUGGAAGAAGGGACUAAAGUGUUAUAAAAGUUUGUAAAAGUGAAUAAGUUUGACUCCCCCCCCCCCCCCCCCUUUUUUUUCCAAUUUUUGAUAAAUAAAAGAUAAAAAUAAUCGUACUGCCACAUGUGUAAGUGUCCAAACUAUUAAAAUGUAAGGCUAGCUAAACUACACUGUCAAAGGCGUACCUGGGAAAAAAUGUGCAUUUUUAAUCACUUCAUAUACCAUAAAAAAAAUGUAAAAAAAGGCAAUCAAACUCUCAUCAAAACAAGAAAGGUUACCGGUAAUUACUACAGACAACACCGCAAAUAAAUCAGCGCUCAUAUAGCACCGUAUGCAGAAACAUUAAGUUAUAGGGGGUCAGAAGAUGACAAUUUUACAGGGUAGCUCCCACCAUCCCUUUUUUUUCCCCUCUCUGUCC